AUGUGAGGGCGAUUGGGCUGCGACAUCUGUCACCCAUUGGUCUCCAGGGUCGAUUUGGCUGACCCGGGUGUCCCCUUCUUCCCUUACCACU
ensembl:misc_RNA 7SK 7SK RNA